rnacentral:rRNA from 1 species
UACGUAGGGAGCAAGCGUUGUCCGGAAUCAUUGGGCGUAAAGCGCGCGUAGGCGGCCCUGUAAGUCCGUUGUGAAAGUCAAAGGCUCAACCUUUGAAAGCCGAUGGAUACUGCAGGGCUAGAGUCCGGAAGAGGCGAGUGGAAUUCCUGGUGUAGCGGUGAAAUGCGUAGAUAUCUGGAGGAACACCGGUGGCGAAGGCGGCAUCCUGGACCAAUUCUGACGCUGAGGAGCGAAAGCCAGGGGAGCAAACGGG